UAGUCCACGCUGUAAACGAUGAUCACUAGCUGUUGGCGAUAGAUAGUCAGCGGCAAAGCGAAAGCAUUAAGUGAUCCACCUGGGGAGUACGAUCGCAAGAUUGAAACUCAAAGGAAUUGACGGGGGCCCGCACAAGCGGAGGAACAUGUGGUUUAAUUCGAUGAUACGCGAGGAACCUUACCUGGGCUUAAAUGCAGAACGACGAUUCGGGAAACCGAUUCUCCCUUCGGGGCGGACUGCAAGGUGCUGCAUGGUUGUCGUCAGCUCGUGCCGUGAGGUGUCGGGUUAAGUCCCAUAACGAGCGCAACCCCUAUCGUUAGUUGCCAGCGAGUCAAGUCGGGGACUCUAACGAAACUGCCGGUGUAAACCGAGAGGAAGUGGGGAUGACGUCAAAUCAGCACGGCCCUUAUGUCCAGGGCUACACACGUGUUACAAUGGUCGAUACAGAGGGCAGCUACCUGGUAACAGGAUGCCAAUCUCGAAAGUCGGUCUCAGUACGGAUUGG
rnacentral:rRNA from 1 species